rnacentral:sRNA from 1 species
GUACCAGGAAGCGCUGGGGGGCAGAGGAGCGGAGUUGAGGCAGAAGCCAGUCAGGAUGGUGGUGCCUUCGCUGAAGCUUCAGGACCUCAUCGAAGAGAUUCGCGGGGCCAAGACUCAGGCCCAGGAGCGGGAGGUGAUCCAAAAGGAGUGUGCCCACAUCCGGGCCUCCUUCCGCGACGGGGACCCAGUGCACAGGCACCGGCAGCUGGCCAAACUGCUCUACGUCCACAUGUUGGGCUACCCCGCCCACUUUGGACAGGUACUGGCCAGGAAUACCUCCCUCCUGAGCUUGAUGAAGGCUAGUGGGGCAGAGUCCCAGACUCUCUCACCUGUUUAUGCCCUGGUUUUUUAAAUUCUACAAUUUCAGAGUCUUCACAGCCUGCACUGCAAACCUCUUUCCCCAUUGCUACCCCUACUGGGCAUCAGCUGGCCUGAACCCUUCAUUCUCUGGCCAGCCUCCUUUAGGGCAGGCACCUCCUCCUCUCCGCUCCCAUCCUCCUCAACUCCUAGUUCCUCCUACCCACUAACGCCUGAAUUUCCUAAGCUCCUCUUGUUGAA